ACAGAUUUGUACGACUGGCGGAAGUAGAAGAAACUACAGGGAGUACAAGGAUGAAUAUGUGUCGACCGCCUGGGCAACCAUU
rnacentral:ncRNA from 2 species